UUGCCAUCCAUUCUUUCAUUGGCAAGUGGCGACAAACAUAUCUAUAUCUUCCAGCAGAAAAGGCAGCCGGCCGGCCGUUUUACAGCUCGACAAUGAAGACUGUACUUGUUUUCUUUGUUGCGUUGGUGUUGAUCUUAGCAACUGCGCAAGCCUCCAAGGAGGAGAGUAGUACUACUUUUGGUCGAAAGGUUAAUGUCGGGGGGAGUGAUCAUAUUACAAAAGAUGAAGCAGCCAACAAAGGCAGCAGUACUACUACUACUACUACUGCAAGCACGAAAUCAAAGGCAGAUGAAGAAGUGAAUCCGGCUUUUCAGAGCUAUUCUGGAACAGCCACUGAUGUGAAACACCAUUAUUUCCCGGAUGAUGACCACAAGCCCUCCCCGCGCAGCUUGUGAGUUGUGAGAAGAAGAAGAAUUAAUGGACCUGCUUAAUGCUUAUGUCUGUAUGUAUGUAACUACGUACGUAUGGUGUGGCGUGUAAUAAAGUGGAACCAACAUGCAUGUUAUAAGUAGCCAAAGAAAUGGCUAUACGUACAUGUACAUGUCAUGUUUAGUUUCACCAUGGUCAUGAAGUAAAACUAUGUUGUGAAUUAUGGCUGUUCUGAAAUAAAAGGAUCGUGCAUGCAUGCA